UAGAACUAAUUAGACAAGAAAGUGGAAUGAGAGAGUAACGUCUUAAAACGCUUCCCCUAAUACUCCGACAUGCAACGGAUUGAGUAUGAAGUCCAAUGUAUGAAGCUCGGUGAAGUCGAGGGAAAGUUGCCCAAACAGGGAUGGUAUUGACCGUGACAGGCGGCGCGUGACACAAUACUGAGCUGUGGAAAGCUAACCAGAGGUGGGUGGUGCAACUGAUACUACGGGGGUCUACAAA
rfam:Epulopiscium sp. AS2M-Bin001 AS2M_MBin01_160, whole genome shotgun sequence.